UGAGGAAUAUUGGUCAAUGGGUGCAAGCCUGAACCAGCCAUCCCGCGUGAAGGACGACUGCCCUAUGGGUUGUAAACUUCUUUUGUAUAGGGAUAAACCUACCCUCGUGAGGGUAGCUGAAGGUACUAUACGAAUAAGCACCGGCUAACUCCGUGCCAGCAGCCGCGGUAAUACGGAGGGUGCAAGCGUUAUCCGGAUUUAUUGGGUUUAAAGGGUCCGUAGGCGGACUUAUAAGUCAGUGGUAAAGCCUGUCGCUUAACGAUAGAACUGCCAUUGAUACUGUAAGUCUUGAGUAUAUUUGAGGUAGCUGGAAUAAGUAGUGUAGCGGUGAAAUGCAUAGAUAUUACUUAGAACACCAAUUGCGAAGGCAGGUUACCAAGAUAUAACUGACGCUGAGGGACGAAAGCGUGGGGAGCGAACA
rnacentral:rRNA from 1 species